rnacentral:rRNA from 1 species
UACAGAGGGUGCGAGCGUUGUCCGGAAUCACUGGGCGUAAAGGGCGCGUAGGCGGCCUGAUAAGUAGGGGGUGGAAUCCUGUGGCUUAACUGCAGGGCUGCCUCCUAGACUGUUAGGCUCGAGCACGGUAGAGGCAGAUGGAAUUCCCGGUGUAGCGGUGGAAUGCGUAGAGAUCGGGAAGAACAUCGGUGGCGAAGGCGGUCUGCUGGGCUAACACUGACGCUCAGGCACGAAAGCGUGGGGAGCAAACAGG